UUCUGCCCCGGUCCUGUUUUGGAUCCAAGUUUAUAUUGUCCAGUUCGUUUCAGUGCCACAUACCAACUGGAGUAUUUCCUUGACCGGUAUGGUGGUUACAUGGCUUCAUGAUGACGUCCUACCAAAGACUACAGCACAGAGAGGGGAGGAAAGAAGUAACUUUAUAGUGAAGAUGAAUACUGUCUCUGCCUGCUGAGCAAAACUGACAGCCCAACCAGACCAAUUUGAAAGAGAUGGAAUUGCUGCCGAAAGUGCAAGGCAGCCAGCCAUCCAAACUGGAUGGUGAAUCCAGAGUCUGAUUUGUGACCUUGGCAGGAAGAAGCCCUGAUGGGAGCUGGAACAUACAUACGAUGAACAUGAAUAUUAAAUGAUGUAAAACAUAAAAAAACUUAAAGAUUUAAUAAUACCAAUACUAGUAAAUCAACAGCUUUCAACAAAACAAAAAUAGCUGCAAAAACAGAGAGCGUUACUUACAGAAGCCAGUAAUCGUCCAUCUUCCUUCAUAGCAAGAGCUUGCUCCAAGAGCACAACUCAGACGCAACAAAAAUUAAAGACAGACCAGGUCCUAGGGAAGGACCUAUAGCCUUUGCUGAAAACAAAGCAGCACUACACUAAGGCUGACAGCAGGACAAAGAGCUGAAGCAGUUCCCUCUGAGAGCACUGGGCCUUAACCAAAUGCAAAGUCAAGGAGCAGCAGGACAAAGAGAGAUCUUCUGUGACAGGGGAAGCCAAUGACAGAGUUCAACAACAAGGCUAACUCCACAUCAACCAAGUGGGAUUAUUACAUAAUUAGAAAACAAAUACCAAAAUGGCAGGUUUAGACCUAACCAUAUAAUUACUCUAAAUGUAAAUGCUCAACACUCCAUUGAAAUGGGAAAAUUGUCAAGGACCCAACUAAGUUCUUUACAAGAACUUGAAGUACAAAAUACAGGCAAGUUGAAAGUAAAAGCAUAAAGAAAACAUGAAAUGCACACCUUAAGUAAACGAAGGCUGAUAUUGGCACUAUUGGUAUCUGACAAACAAGACUCGAAGGCAAGUAAUAUAAUAUGAACAGGGUUGCUGCAUGAUAAGAUGAUAUAUUCCACGAAGAUCUAAUGCUCUUAUAUGUAUAGCACUUAAUAACAGAACUCUAAAGUAUCUGAAGCAAAAACCUACAAAAGAAAUUGGUGAUAUACAAGAUAUGAAGAACAUUAUGAAUCUGAACUAAAUGAUUCUUUUUGUUUUUAGAUCAGGUAGACACCAACUUAGAUAUUAUUCUGCUGUUAACAUCAGUCAUUUGAAAGUUAUAUUUUUAAAAAAUCCUAAUAAUCUGGUAAACCAUCCUAUGUUCAUUUGCCUAAUGGAAGAGUUGCCAAUGGAAGAGUUGCUCAAUUAGCUCUAUUUGAGAAGGUAAAAUUAACAUGGAUUUGAAGCAAUGUUAAGGGCUGGUUGUUUUUUUUUUUUUAUUUGUAAUAUCUUCAUUGAGAUAUAAUUCACAAACCAUGUUACUUACAACUUGAAAGUACAUAUAUAAUUGACUUUAGUACAUACAGUUAUACAACCAUACAACCAAAGUACAUAUAUAAAUGACUUUAGUAUAUAGUUAUACAACCAUCACAACAAAUUACAAAGCAUUUUCAUCACUCUACACUCUUCAGCAGUCACCCUCCCUAUCCCCAACCAACAUGUCAAACCAUAGGCAAUCAUUUAUCUGCUUCCUAUCUUUUAUUCUAUCCCUUCCUGUCUGAAUAUCAUAUUCAGAAUAUUUCAUAUAAGUGGAAUUUUAAAAAAGUGAUCUUUUGUGAUUGGUUUCCUUCAUGUAGAAUGUUUUCAAGGUUCAUCCAUAUCGUAGCAUAUUUCAGUAUUUCGAUUCCUUUUUAUUGCCAAAGAACUACUACAUUGCAUAGGUAGACCAUAUUUGAUGUGUCCAUUCACCAGCCCGAGAUUCAAGGUGUUUCCACUUUUGGUUGUAUAAAUAAUGGUGCCACAAAUAUUCAUGCACAAAGUUUUGUGUGGACAUUUUCUGUCAUCUCUUUUGGGUAAGAUAUAGAAGUUGGACUGCCAGAACAUAUGAUAAUUCUAUGUUGAAUCAUCUGAGGAGCUGUCAGUUUUCACUUCAUCUUAGCCAAAAGGCCGAGAAGCAAUGGAUCUGUCAGUUUUCUAAAGCAACUGCACCACUUUACACUCCCAUCAGCAGUGUAUGAUAAUUCCAGUUUUUCCAUAUCUAGACCAAUACUUGCUACAGUUUUUGUUCUGAAUUAUAGGCAGCUUAACUGGAUAUGAAAUAAUGUCUCAUUAUAGUUUGAAUUUCCAUUUCCCUCAUGGUAAUGAUUUUGAGCAUCUUUUCACAUGUUUAAUUAGCCAUUUGUACACCUUCUUUGAAGAAAUACCUAUUUAAAUCCUUGGUUCUUUUUAAAUUAGGUUGUUUUGUUAUUAUUGAAUUGUAAGUUCUUUAUAUAUUCUAGAUACAAGUUCCUUCUCAGAUAUAUGAUUCACAAAUACUCUCUCCUAUCCUGUGGGCUGUCUUUUCACUUUGUUAGUGUUGUUCUUUGAAACAUUAACAUUUUUUAUUUCCAUGAAUUCCAAUUUAUCAAUUUUGUUCUUUUGUUGUUUGGGCUUUUAGUGUCAUAUCUAAGUAAUUUGCCUAAUUCAAAGAUAUGAAGAUAUUUACCUAGAGAUGUAUCUCUCUCUCUCUCUCUCUCUCUCUCUCUCUCUCUCUCUCUCUCUCUCUCUCUCUUUCUCUCUCUCUCACACACACAGAGGUAAAAAUCAAGUUUCUUUGUACUCACAACAAGCUAAUGGCACCAUUAUAAAAAUGACACUAGUUAUAAUAAAAAGUAGCUAGCACUUUCAUGAAAAAAAUAUAAAACCUUACUGCAAAUCACUUUAAAAAGACUUAAAAGGACAGCUACAUAUGUUUACAGAUGGGAAGAUUCAUGUAUUUACGAUGUCACUUUUCUCCUUAAAUGAGAUGAAAGAAUGAGAGUUUUUAGUGAAAGGACAGAUUUUGGAGUCCAGCAGAACUAGAAACAAAAUCUGGCUUCACAGCUUAGUAAUUUACUUUCUCACAUGCACAAUGGAAGAGUUGGGGGGGUGCAUCUGUGUGUCUAUGAUAGUACACAAUAAGCAUUCAAAUAUAUUGGCCUCCUACCUUGGCUGCUUUGCGAUUUACAGAAUUAUAUAUUUGUUAUAAAACCUUGUAUUUGAUCAAGGGUAUGUGUCUUAGUUACUUUUUUUAUUGCUGAGACAAAAUACCU